CCCCAAGAGUAUUUUAAUUUUAAUUCUAAUUUUUUCAAAAUCACGUGGUUUAUUACUGUUAGAUUUGUUAUUCCAGGUUGUAUAUCUAUUGUAUUUUCAGGAAGUUUCAGCUGAUCCUACUGCCACACUCACAGCAGCAGAAGAAAGAAAGGAGAAGGUGCCAAGUCCACACCUCAGUCACCUAGUGGUUUUGACAUCUGGGGAUACGUUGUAUGGGUUGGCAGAAAGAGUGGUAGCCACGGAAUCCUUGGUAUUCUUGGCUGAACAGUUUGAGUUCCUUCAGCCACAUCUGGAUGCUGUGAUGCCUGCAGUCAAAAAGCCCUUUCUUCAGCAGUUCUA
rnacentral:lncRNA from 1 species